GCAAACUUGGUCAUUUAGAGGAAGUAAAAGUCGUAACAAGGUUUGGAUGAGUCUGCGGAUCCUUCUGCAGUGACGCUUAUGAGAAGCCUUUGUGGCCCUGCAAGGGGUACCUACCGCGACUGUAAACAAGAAUGUGGGUAUUAAAUCGCAAGUCAGCUCAAGCUGGCAACACUUUCGAAUUGCGGGGACACCCUAAAGCCCACUCUACCAACCCAGCGGGGAAACUCAGCUGGCGGCCCAUGUUAACAGCCCACUGCGUACCAAGCAUCAUGUUGCCUCGGCGGGCGUCCCUCCCACCUGUGUGGGUGGGGUGCCGCCCGCCGGAGGACCCUUUUAAAAACCUUUUGCAUGACGAACGUCUGAAUUUACAUCGCUAAUGCGAAAGUACAACUUUCAACAAUGGAUCUCUUGGCUCCGGCAUCGAUGAAGAACGCAGC
rnacentral:misc_RNA from 1 species